GUAUAUUUUUCUCUUUCUGCACACCUUUCACAUCAUUCCCUACAGCCUCAGUCUAUAUACUCUGUCAGAUUAUCUCAGCUAUUAUAUUAGAUCGUUAUCCCAUUUCCCUGGCCAUAUGUUUUGCUACAUCUCUAAUUUUUGUGCCCCCAUAACUUAACAGAUCUAAGUCAGUAAAGAAGGAUAAUCCAGUAAUAACUUCUCUCCUCUUAUAACUUUAUCACAUAUUUCUCAAGCUAAAAACUCUCCCAUAUCAAACUCGUACCCAGUCAUAAACCCAGCUAUCAAUGUUGCACUAACUGGGUUGAGUACGUUAUCCUUAGUAAGGGGAAAAAUUCUGUGUCUGGCCAGUUUUCACCAUGCCUUGGACUCAAAGUUUAAUAUGGGCUUUUAUAUCAUCUGUAAAGUCACCUCUGGGCCACCUACUACCCAACUGGCUUCUUCCCUGUUCAAAGCAAUCAACCCUAUAAUCCACCAAAAAUAACUUAUCUUGUCUUCCUAUCCCAGCUUCUUUCUUAUAAUUUUUUGCAUUUUAUCCAUACAGUAAUCCAUUUUGGCUAUAUUUAUCGGUGGCUGGAUAUUUGGUACAUUAAAGAAUUGAGAAAUAGUAAGAGUGGAGAUAUUCACCCGCACUUCUCAAAUGGACAAUGAGGUUUACAGGUAAUUGGAAUAAAAAAAGUGAAGUAAGAUGGAAAAGGAACAAAAAAAGAUAGUUCAAAAGUUGGAAAACAUAGAGAAGGGAUUGACCCUUAGUUACUGCGAUCGCAGUUUGAGAGCCGCAAUCGUGACCAAUCAAAGCUCGAUAAACUCUUUUGAAUUGCAAGGGGAUCACCGCAAUUGUAGAAGUCAUGAUCGUGAUCAACUAAUGGUGAUUGUGAUGAUGUGGCUGAAGUUCAAAAGGCAGUUUCAUAAUUAUGCAUGGAUGAACUAAAUUCUAAAAAAGGGCAAAACACUCGCACAAUUGAGGCAUUUUUCAACCAUAAUUCAAAGUUGUUAAUGAGAGAAAAAUCCUACCAAUUUAGGAAAUACAAUUGUUUCUAAAAUUUCUAAGAGAAUUAUUAGUUAUAAUUUGAUAUUGAUGUUUCGAGAUUAUUCUUUAUUUGCUAUCAAUGGAUGCAUUGGGUCCUAACUUUUC